CGUACAAUUAUACCUCUAAUAUAUAUGUAUAUCCCUUGCACGUAGUUGUUGCAUAUAAUUGAUGGAAUUUGGAUAUUGCAGUAACAAUCUUUAAAAAGUAUAAUGAUUAAUAGCAUACUUAAUAGUUUUGGAAUUCAACUAAACCUGCCGUUUUGUCCUGCAUCUAUCACUAAUUUAAUAGUUUUGGCGUAUUAGCACAAAAGAUGUCCACGUGUCCAGAGACAGACCCA
rnacentral:lncRNA from 1 species